AAGGUAACGCCGUUGAGGAGAAGUGGGAACGGAGGGAAGGUAACGCCAGUGAGGAGUGGGAACGGUGGGAAGGUGACACCGGUGAGAAGUGGGAACCGCAGGAAUGUAACGCCGUUGAGGAGAAGUGGGAACGGAGGGAAGGUAACGCCAGUGAGGAGUGGGAACGGUGGGAAGGUAACGCCAGUGAGGAGUGGGAACGGUGGGAAGGUGACACCGGUGAGAAGUGGGAACCGCAGGAAUGUAACGCCGUUGAGGAGAAGUGGGAACGGAGGGAAGGUAACGCCAGUGAGGAGUGGGAACGGUGGGAAGGUGACACCGGUGAGAAGUGGGAACAGUUGGUGAAUUCGCCUAAGGCUCUAAUGGCAGUUCCUUGUCGUAUUCUUGUGACUUUUACAUAUGUUUGACGUUGUAUCAAAAUGGCUCCGGAGCAGAAUGGUCAUCAUGGACAGGCCGCCGGCUGCUGGGCUGUGACUGUUCUGAGGCUGAAAUGGGCAAACAGCCUUGCCUCCUCUCCACCUGCAGCUGCAAGCCUGGACAGUCGAGGCACCCCGGGAACCUCCCCUACGCUCAUGUCUUGCUCGUGCAUUUCUGAGCUCCCCGGCAGUUCAGCCUCCCUUGUAUUAAAUCCUGACAGGAAGCUUGGAUUAAGACCUCGGUAGUGCUAAAGCCGUUGCUCUCUGAACCCAUGCUCAUGGGGGAUGAAUCUUGUCUCCCCAAAAGAUAUGUUCGAGUCCUAAGCCCUGGUUCCUACAAACGUGACCAGUUUGGAAACAGGGUCUUCGCAGAUGUAAAAAGUUAAGGAUAUCAUGAUGAGAUCAUCUUGGAUUUAGUAUGGGCCUGAAAUCCGGUGCCUGGCAUCCUUAUGGGAGAAAGGAGAGGCUUGCAAAGAUGGAGGUGGGGCUGGGCGAUGCUGAGGACACCCGGAGUCACCAGAAGCAGAAGCGCCGAGGAGGGAUCUCCCUGGAGCGAGCAGCUCUGAGGGAGCGCAGGCCUACACCUCAAUCUUGGACUCUGGCUUCCGGAACCAUGAGGGAACAAGUGUCUUGUUUUAAGCUGCAGCCCAGGAAUCCGCCUCCCUGUGGCUCACCAGUCCCCUUGGGCACAUCUUCCCUCUCCUAAUGGGGUAAAAUCAGGGGCAAUGUGCUGUGACCUGUGGCUUUGGGGGUGCUCUCAGGAGCGGCCUGGGGCUGAGCAGGCAGGGAGCCUCUACCUGUACCUACUGUGCCUGCUCCCUGUGAGGGCUGGGAUGCCCCCCCGAUGCUGAGCAGGUGCCAGGAAUGUUGAUGGAUGGAUGGAUGGAGAGAGGGAUGUUGAUGGACGGAUGGAUGGAGGGAGGGAUGUUGAUGGACGGAUGGAUGGAGGGAGGGAUGUUGAUGGACGGAUGGAUGGAGGGAUGUUGAUGGACGGAUGGAUGGAGGAAGGGAUGUUGAUGGACGGAUGGAUGGAGGGAGGGAUGUUGAUGGACAGAUGGAGGGAGGGAGGAAUGUUGAUAGACAGAUGGAUGAAGGGAGGGAUUUUGAUGGACAGAUGGAGGGAGGGAGGAAUGUUGAUAGACAGAUGGAUGGAGGGAGGGAUGUUGACGGACAGAUGGAGGGAGGGAUGUUAAUGGACUUAUAGAAGGGAUGAAGGGACGGCCAGUCCACCACCAAGCAAGGAUGAAACCCUAGAUGCAAAUCAGGCUCCGAGUCAACUUAUGGGAGUUCUUUGAUAAAAACACAUAUUCAUAAAAUGAGUCACAAAGGCCCUUGCAUUUUUCAUUUUCAAUCUGCAUUUGUAAACAUCUUUACUCAGCUUCACUUUGUACAGGGAGGUCUUCGAAAUUUUAAUUUCAAGCUCAAAACAUGAGGGCUGUUAUUCUGGCCCACUUUUUUUUUCUUGGAAAAGAUAGGAAGCUCUUCGCCAAAAGAAAAAUAAGUCACAAGCUUAAUAAAUAACGAAGCACAAAGCAAACCACUCAUGCUCAAUUUUUCAUACUUCUAUGAAUAUUUCAGGAAAUAAUAGAUGGCCUUAGAAGACUAUCAUAAGGCUGGCAGGGACCCGGAGCUGGGGACAGCCACCUUCUUCUCUCAACCCUCUUGAUGUCAUUUGUGUAAAAUUAAUGCAGGAGUUGGUUUCAUUUUCUAAUUCAUCGAGAAAGGAUAUUUCUAUUCACAAUGGCAUCUUCCAGUUACCCAUCCAAGACUUCGGUGGUGCGGGGCAGGGGAGCCCCCAGGUGGGGCUGAGCCCCGACGGUUCUUGGCUUUACCCUGGAGGGAAUUCAAGGGCAAGCCGCAGGUAGAAGGAAAGAGCUUUAUUCAGGCGGCCGUGCCACAGCUCACAGCUCCCUGACUGCUCCUGCAGCGGGGCCGCCCCGUAGGCAGAGAGCAGCCGCUUGGGGCAGUUUUGCAGUCACACUUAUACCGCUUUUAAUCGCAUGCAGAUUAAGGGGCGAUUUAUGCAGAAAUUUCUAGGGAAGGGGUAGUAACUUUUGGGUCAUUGAGUCAUUGCCAUAGAAGGGGGCGGUAACACCCGGGUGUUGCUAUGGCAACGGAAAACUGACAGGCACUCGGGUGGGCGAGGCUUAGGGAAAGCUGCUUCCGCGAGCCCUGCUUUAACUAGUCAAUCCGGUCCGGAGUCCAAGUACUGCCUCUGGAGUCGACUCCCACCUCAAACCUCACUCGAAUGAUGGCGUCCCAGUCCUCUCUCAGAAGACGUCCAUCAGCAACGUGAUUCUGUCCUCCCAGCCAAGCUGGCAGCUCCCGGAGCCCCUGCCCUAUCGCUGGUCUCCCGGGCUGUGCAGGCCCUGCAGGGACUGUGAGCCCUCCUCACGCGGAGGAAGCAGAGGGGGCUGGACCUGCCGGCCUGGCACAUGCACGUGGAGAGGCCGACUGUUGUGCACACUCACGCAGGCACACACACACUUGCUCACACACACACUGAACUCAUGCUCACACAUGCCUGUCAGGCUCACACUCACACUCGCUCAUCCGUGCACUGACACUCAUACACGGCCAGCGUCCUAAGGCGGAAGAGUGAAGGAGAAAGGCCUGCACUCCAAGGCUGGGCUGCAAGUGCAGCGGGGGUGAGGGGUGGGGGAUCGCCGGAGCAG
rnacentral:lncRNA from 10 species